GAAACAGUAGUUUAAUGGAAAAGCACACCCUGCUAAGGUGAGUUGCAGGUUCGAAUCCUGCCUGUUUCC
rnacentral:tRNA from 1 species